GAUGAACGCUAGCGGCAGGCUUAAUACAUGCAAGUCGCGGGGCAGCAUGAUUGUAGCAAUACAAUUGAUGGCGACCGGCAAACGGGUGCGGAACACGUACACAACCUUCCAAUAAGUUGGGAAUAGCCAAGAGAAAUUUGGAAUAACAACCCGUUACAUAACGUUGUGGCAUCACAUUGUUAUUAUAGAUUUUUCGGCUAUUGAUGGGUGUGCGGCUGAUUAGAUAGUUGGUGGGGUAACGGCCAACCAAGUCUACGAUCAGUAGCUGAUGUGAGAGCAUGAUCAGCCACACGGGCACUGAGACACGGGCCCGACUCCUACGGGAGGCAGCAGUAAGGAAUAUUGGACAACGGACGCAAGUCUGAUCCAGCCAUGCCGCGUGAAGGAUUAAGGUCCUCUGGAUUGUAAACUUCUUUUAUAAGGGACGAAAAAAGGCUUUUCUAAGUCGUCUGACGGUACCUUAUGAAUAAGCACCGGCUAACUCCGUGCCAGCAGCCGCCGUAAUAC
rnacentral:rRNA from 1 species